GUUUAUAAAUAAUCAUUUAAUGAUAUUAAAAAUACAAUAAUUAUUAACAGCUACCCUUUAUUUACUAAUAUUUCCUAAUGUGCCAGACAUGUGCUAUGUAUUAUCUCACUAAUUCUCAGAAUGUCAUUAUGUCAUAACUACUGCCAUUGUUCUCAUUAUACAGAAAGGCAGAAUGGACCAUCCCAAGCAAAGUUCAUUGCUCAAGAUCACACGGUAAACGGGGACGCUGAGAUUCAAAGCGAGUUUUACUCUGACCCAAAGUCUCCACCCUUUACUAGGUAUGUUGAGCCUCUAAGAAGGAUACAUGACAUAGCACGUUUCCAAGCUCAGCCACGGAAGCCCUUCUCAUGCAAGGUUCCACAGAGCAACUUUGGGAAACACUGCUCUAGUUCCUCCUAGGAGAUCUGCCAAAAGCCAUGAGAGGAUUUCCAAGUCCCUGCUUCUCUUUCUUUCUCCCCCUCCUCAGCUGGGCCUGGGGUCCUGAGUCCCUCGGAGGCCCUUCUGCGUUAGCUCAAGGGGCUGGUGUGAGCACUGGAAGAAGGGCCCAGGAGGGGCUGAGAUUCCCGCCAGCAGCUCCCAAACUGUCCAGAGCUAAACAGGUGACUUCGUCAGCUACAAAUGACCCGUAGAGGAUUCCAAAUUCUAUUCUCAGUUUCUAAGUUGCUGCUUCAAACUUAGCAGCUGCUUGAGUCGCUAGCAGAUGAGGCAGGUCAUGAACUCAGAAUCCUUGAAGCCAUUGCCUGCUUAGUAGGAGAAAGUAGGGGUCCUCUGAGUGCGAUGCUCUCUCACUUGGGCCCCUGCGCCAGACUCCACACGAGGUCCCUAGACCUUCUUGCCACCACCUCACUGCGGCAGAAUGAGCUUUCGACGGGCAGCACACAGCUGACAUUGCCCUGCUCAGAACCCGGCGGUGGCUGUCUAGGGCCUCCAGCAGUGUCCAAACCACUUGGCCUGGUUUUCAAGGUCCUUGGAGACGGGGAGACUGUGUCAUCUGUUUCUUUUUCUCAAGAGAACGCACAAAUGAACAGAUAGAGGCUGUGACACAGAAGGUCUGGCUGCCCUGUCCUUGAAGGCAAACCACCUUGUGGAAGGAGCCAAGCAGCACUUACCAAAUCUCUUGCACAAGUCUCUUUUCUCUGGAGACUGUUUUUAACAAGAAACAGAGAAAAGCUUUCCCCUUAGGGCAUCAGAAAGAAAGUUGUGUUUAGAUGUCCUGCUUGAUCCUACUUCAGACGAGGCAGAGAGACAGGAAUAGAUGUCACCAAAGACUCCAGGGGCGCAAUAAAAGGAGUUCAGGCAUCUUUUUAGAACAGUCCCAGAGUUCUCCGCUAAGAACAAUGACACACGCCUAUUCGGGUGUCCUGAACUGUUGGAAGAGCAAAAAGCUCCUCUUUGUUGGGGGCUGGAAGCAGAGUGGGCGGUGUCUGAAUGCCUCUUGGCACUGCACGGGCUAGCCUAGUGCAUUCCAGACUGCAAGGUGCAUAUGUUACCUGGGAAGCUUGUUAGAAUGCACCUGCUGAUUCUGCAGGUCAGGGUGAAGACCAGGAUUCUGCACUUCUAACUAGCUCCUGUGUCAGGUUGGUGCAGCUGGAGCCACCUCAUGAUGAGUAAGAACAAACAGGCAGUGAAAACCGCUCCUCGUCUCCUGGUGCUCUGGAACUCUCGCUCAUCGUGGUGAAAAGAUUCCAGCCUGACUCCUCAUGGCUCCUGUGCGUACCAUGCUAUUCCAGUCCACCAUGCUCUGCACAGCUGUGCCCUCUGCUCGGAAAGCCCUCCUCACCAUAUGUAGCUGAAUUAAGUCUGCCUCAUCUUUGAAACUCUCCUGGCAUACCACCUCCUCCAAGGAGUCUUCCGGGUUCCUCAGGCUGAGAUAAGUGCCCCCUCCCACCUUCUGUGGGCUCAUAACCCUUGUGUCCAUCGAGACCAUGACACCUAUCUUCUUACAUGGAGACUGCCCAUGCCUCGGCCUGCCUUCCCCACCAGCCUUCAAAAGCAUGAAUCAUGCCUUGUCGCUGUUUAUCCUCCCAGUGCCCUGCAUGGGGUCUAGCACACAGAAGAUGCACGAUAAACAUUUGGCGAAGUGCACCAAAGCUGGCAACAUCUCCUCCAAGGGAAGAAGAAUUUAGCAGGUUCUUUCCAUCGCAAAGAGAAAUGAUUUAAUUCAAUAAGGAAAGCAUCUUUUUGUUU